rnacentral:piRNA from 1 species
UAUUACUGGAAUGGAGGAAACUUACCAGG